rnacentral:rRNA from 1 species
UACGUAGGGUGCGAGCGUUGUCCGGAAUUAUUGGGCGUAAAGGGCUCGUAGGCGGUUUGUCGCGUCGGGAGUGAAAACUCAGGGCUUAACCCUGAGCCUGCUUCCGAUACGGGCAGACUAGAGGUAUGCAGGGGAGAAUGGAAUUCCUGGUGUAGCGGUGAAAUGCGCAGAUACCAGGAGGAACACCGGUGGCGAAGGCGGUUCUCUGGGCAUUACCUGACGCUGAGGAGCGAAAGUGUGGGGAGCGAACAGG